UAUUGUCUUCUUGUGGCUUAUUACCUUUCUUUCCAAAACACUGCGCAACCUAUGCAACUACACAUCUCACCUUCUGUUUCUGCUUGGUGCUUUCGCUUGUCUUGCCGGGGGUAAUGUCCUUGUAAGUUGUACAUAUACAACUCUUGCUUCUUCUUAGUAUAUCUACUGUUACUCCAACCCUGCAUCCUCAAAGUCUCGUUUCUCAAAAGGUUAUGCUAUAAUACAGGGCUAAAUAACUUUGAUUAUCCUAAUGAAAAGUGAAGUGACAUAGUUAGAAAAGAGAUUUAUGUCUGAAUCGGAUGUCAUUAGGGGUGGGCUAUGCAUGCUUUUGUCAGGAUAGAAAUGUCAAAAAGAUUUUCGAGCCUAUUCCCACCAAACCUUUUGAGAAGAUCAAAAUGUGAUAAUAUUUGGACCCUACAGUGAUGAUCCUGUCUAUACAACCAACUAAAUCUUGUUCUGCAGAAACUGUAUGUCACCUAAUGUCAGAGCCAAAAACAGUAAAUAGUACCCGAUGAGGAUUGUCUACUCAACUGGAAGCUGCUUAGCUAUGCGUACAAGGAAACGAGUGAGGGACUUUUUGGCAUUGAUAAAAGUUAUAUCCACUUCGCUUUCCUUUCCCUCUUCACUGACUUCUGGCCGUUGGAUGGAUUGAACUUUACGGACUAGGCUCCGCAAUUCCUGUAACAAUGAUAUUAUACAAGACCUAAGUUACAGGAGAGUAAAAGUUACAUUUAAAGCAAAGGUGCAAGCAAAUUAAAUAUAGCUUGCAGGGUGUCUUCCCAAUGCAUAAGAGUGGAGCAAUGUGAGAAGUCUUUAUUUGGAUGACAAGGCUGAUACCAAUGUUGAAGGAUAACAAUUACAGAGGAGAAUAACUAACCUGACGAUCAAACUCGACCUCACGCAGAGAAUAUAUUUCAUUGCUAACCUCGACGUCCUUAUUGAUCAAGCCAUCAAACCAUCUUUCAGCCAAUUCAAUACUCUGCAACAAGUGAAAAGAGAUGACACCAAGUGUUCUUUAUCUUCUCUUUACUAGCAUGUUUUAUGGUCAUUUUCGUCUCUCCUUUUAUUGCAAAAUUUUUCUUCAGUGUUUACUUCUUCUGAUUAACUAACUAGGCUUUGCAACAUUCUACAUCAUGUUAGCCUACACCAAUCUCAUGCCUCUCCUUCAUGACAACUAGUAUCUUUGAUUAUAAAACGGGGAUUUUGAUUGUAGUCC